rnacentral:rRNA from 1 species
GACGAACGCUGGCGGCGUGCUUAACACAUGCAAGUCGAACGGAAAGGCCCUGCUUUUGUGGGGUGCUCGAGUGGCGAACGGGUGAGUAACAUGUGAGUAACCUGCCCUGGACUUUGGGAUAACUUCAGGAAACUGGGGCUAAUACCUGAUAGGAGCUCCUGCUGCAUGGUGGGGGUUGGAAAGUUUCGGCGGUUGGGGAUGGACUCGCGGCUUAUCAGCUUGUUGGUUGGGUAGUGGCUUACCAAGGCUUUGACGGGUAGCCGGCCUGAGAGGGUGAACGGGCACCAUGGGCCUGCGAUACGGAGCAGACUCCUACGGGAGGCAGCAGGGGGGAAUCUUGCCCAAUGGGCGGAAGCCUGAUGCAGAAACGCCGCGUGCGGGAUGACGGCCUUCGGGUUGUAAACCGCUUUCGCCUGUGACGAAGCGUGAGUGACGGUAAUGGGUAAAGAAGCACCGGCUAACUACGUG